rnacentral:rRNA from 1 species
CAGUCGCCGCGGGAAUACGGAGGGGGCUAGCGUUGUUCGGAAUUACUGGGCGUAAAGCGUACGUAGGCGGCUUUGUAAGUUAGAGGUGAAAGCCUGGUGCUCAACACCAGAACUGCCUUUAAGACUGCAUCGCUUGAACGUCGGAGAGGUGAGUGGAAUUCCGAGUGUAGAGGUGAAAUUCGUAGAUAUUCGGAAGAACACCAGUGGCGAAGGCAGCUUACUAAGGUAUGAUUGACGCUGAUGCACGAAAGCGUGGGGAUCAAACAGGAUUAGAUACCCGUGUAGUCCCUGUCUCUUAUAA